ACUUAUUUAGUGUUAUUUGGGGUUAGAAUUUGUUAGAAUACAAUCAAGUUGAUUGAUUACAAGUGAUAGAGAUAUAUGAAGAGUGUUUAAAAGUGUGUAGGAAGACUUGAUGAAAUUUGGUCCAAAAUGGGAUAAGAACUCACAACCAUUGCUUUGAAUAAUUAAAUGGCUUGGCUAAUAUUGUUUGGGGUUAGAAUAUGUUAGAAUACAAUAAAUUUAAUUGAUUACAAGUGCUAGAGGUGCAUGAAGAGUGUUUAGAAGUGUGGAGAAAGACUUGUUGAAAUUGGGUCCCAAAUGGGCUAAGAACUAGGAAACAUUGCAUUGAACCAAUAAAUGACUUAUCUAGUGUUGUUUAGGGUUAGAAUAUGUUAGAAUGCAAUAUACUUGAUUGAUUUCAAGUGCUAGAGAUGCAUGAAGAGUGUUUAAAAGUAUGAAGAGAGACUUGCUGAAAUUUGGUCCAAAAUGGGCUAAGAACCCACAAC
rnacentral:lncRNA from 1 species